rnacentral:rRNA from 1 species
AGAGUUUGAUCAUGGCUCAGGAUGAACGCUAGCGGCAGGCUUAAUACAUGCAAGUCGUGGGGCAGCACAGGUAGCAAUACUGGGUGGCGACCGGCAAACGGGUGCGGAACACGUACGCAACCUUCCUUUAAGCGGGGAAUAGCCCAGGGAAACUUGGAUUAAUACCCCAUAAUACAAUUGGGUGGCAUCACCUGAUUUUU